UACGUAGGGGGCAAGCGUUGUCCGGAUUUAUUGGGCGUAAAGAGCGUGUAGGCGGCCAGACAGGUCCGUUGUGAAAACUCGAGGCUCAACCUCGAGACGUCGAUGGAAACCGUCGGGCUAGAGUCCGGAAGAGGAAACUGGAAUUUACGGUGUAGCAGUGAAAUGCGUAGAGAUCGUAAGGAAGACCAGUGGCGAAGGCGAGUUUCUGGACAGAUACUGACGCUGAGGCACGAAGGCCAGGGGAGCAAACGGG
rnacentral:rRNA from 1 species